GAUGAAGAACGUAGCGAAAUGCGAUAAGUAAUGUGAAUUGCAGAAUUCCGUGAAUCAUCGAAUCUUUGAACGCACAUUGCGCCCCUCGGUAUUCCGGGGGGCAUGCCUGUCCGAGCGUCAUUGCAACCUUCAAGCGCGGCUUGUGUGUUGGGUCUCGUCCCCCGUGGACGGGCCCGAAAGGCAGUGGCGGCACCGCGUCCGGUCCUCGAGCGUAUGGGGCUUCGUCACCCGCUCUUGUAGGCCCGGCCGGCGCUUGCCGACACAUCAAUCUUUUUUCCAGGUUGACCUCGGAUCAGGUAGGGAUACCCGCUGAACUUAAGCAUAUCAAUAAGCGGAGGA
rnacentral:misc_RNA from 1 species